rnacentral:rRNA from 1 species
AGAGUUUGAUCCUGGCUCAGAGCGAACGCUGGCGGCAGGCCUAACACAUGCAAGUCGAACGGACCCUUCGGGGUUAGUGGCGGACGGGUGAGUAACACGUGGGAACGUGCCUUUAGGUUCGGAAUAGCUCCUGGAAACGGGUGGUAAUGCCGAAUGUGCCCUUCGGGGGAAAGAUUUAUCGCCUUUAGAGCGGCCCGCGUCUGAUUAGCUAGUUGGUGGGGUAAUGGCCCACCAAGGCUACGAUCAGUAGCUGGUCUGAGAGGAUGACCAGCCACACUGGGACUGAGACACGGCCCAAACUCCUACGGGAGGCAGCAGUGGGGAAUCUUGCGCAAUGGGCGAAAGCCUGACGCAGCCAUGCCGCGUGUAUGAUGAAGGUCUUAGGAUUGUAAAAUACUUUCACCGGUGAAGAUAAUGACUGUAGCCGGAGAAGAAGCCCCGGCUAACUUCGUGCCAGCAGCCGCGGUAA